UACGAAGGGGGCUAGCGUUGUUCGGAAUUACUGGGCGUAAAGCGCGCGCAGGCGGCUAUCCAAGUCAGUGGUGAAAGCCCGGAGCUCAACUCCGGAACUGCCAUUGAAACUGUUUAGCUUGAGGAUGAGAGAGGUGAGUGGAAUUCCCAGUGUAGAGGUGAAAAUUCGUAGAUAUUGGGAAGAACACCGGUGGCGAAGGCGGCUCACUGGCCCGGUACUGACGCUGAGGCGCGAAAAGCUAGGGGGAGCGAACAGG
rnacentral:rRNA from 1 species